AACGAACGCUGGCGGCAGGCCUAACACAUGCAAGUCGAGCGAGAUCUUCGGGUCUAGCGGCGGACGGGUGAGUAACGCGUGGGAAUAUGCCCUUCUCUGCGAAAUAGCCUCGGGAAACUGAGCGAAAUACCGCAUACGCCCUUUGGGGGAAAGAUUUAUCGGAGAAGGAUUAGCCCGCGUUGGAUUAGGUAGUUGGUGGGGUAACGGCCUACCAAGCCGACGAUCCAUAGCUGGUUUGAGAGGAUGAUCAGCCACACUGGGACUGAGACACGGCCCAGACUCCUACGGGAGGCAGCAGUGGGGAAUCUUAGACAAUGGGGGCAACCCUGAUCUAGCCAUGCCGCGUGAGUGAUGAAGGCCUUAGGGUUGUAAAGCUCUUUCAGCUGGGAAGAUAAUGACGGUACCAGCAGAAGAAGCCCCGGCUAACUCCGUG
rnacentral:rRNA from 1 species